CCCAGAUACAAUUUUGUUCACCGGUGGCUUAUUUCUUGACCCAAUAAUUCCUUCUUCAAUUACCACCACCACCACAAAUUUUCUAAAUGGCUCUUCAAUUGAUGAUUCUAAUGAGUUACAUUCUCCCAUUCGUCGUCUUAGACCAAUUUUCAGGCGAGAAAAGAGUGUUGGCGCCGGUUUUGGGGGUAAAUUCUUGUGUUUGAGCUUAUCAGUCAAGAAGAAUACUGGCGUUGUCGGAAAUUCCAGUGAAUGCUUGUUGAGUAAUAAUGGAGAUGAGAGUUCCAAGGUGGAGAAGCCUAGUGACGGUUCUGGAGGCGGGAGGAAGCGAAAUAUUGGGCUAAGGGGGCGUCGUGGUGCAGUGAAUACCACUAAACAUUUGUGGGCUGGAGCAGUUGCUGCCAUGGUAUCAAGAUCCGGACCAAGUUAGUGGCACGGGGUGGAGAAGCCUUGGGCGGUGUAGGUGGAGCUUUCCAACACCUGAUCAGAACUGAAGGAUUCUUCUCUCUUUAUAAGGGAGUAUGGCCCCAGCUGCAGCUGUCUUCUAUAGUGUAUACGACAUAUUAAAAUCAGCUUAUUUGCAUUCACCUGAAGGAAGAAAAAGAAUUCAGUAUAUGAAGCAACAGGGAGCAGAGCUCAAUGCUUUGGACCAGCUUGAGUUGGGACCUAUGAGGACCUUGCUCCAUGGUGCUAUCGCUGGUGCGUGUGCUGAAGCUGCAACCUACCCAUUUGAGGUCAUUAGAAGGCAGCUUCAAUUACAAGGUCGAGCGUCUAAACUGAGUGCCUUGGCAACUUGUGCAAAGAUUGUUGAACAUGGGGGUGUUCCAGCUCUAUAUGCAGGGUUAAUCCCUAGUUUACUUCAGGUGUUACCUUCAGCAUCCAUUAGCUACUUUGUUUACGAGUUCAUGAAGAUUGUUCUCAAAGUGGAAUGAAGAACAUCUGUUAGCAGCUAAGUAACGAUGUACAGAAGCGCAUUGUAUUACAAUGUUAUUCAUCACAUGAUAUUAAAGAGGAAAAAAAGAGUUUAUCAAACAAAAAGGCUGGUAUUCUCUUCAACAGGCUGAAAAGCUAGCUGAUUAAUGAUUAUCUUUUUGGGGAAAUGAAAAGGAUGAGGAGAGCAACGAUAAAGAGAGUAAAUUAUAAUAACUCGGCGAUGAUUGAUAUAAGCUUUUAAUGUAACUCAAGUUGAACAACAGUUUGGAUCGAUAUUACAUCCAUUUUAACAAUUAAAUGAGUGCAUCUCUUGUCAAACUCGUCCAAUCUUGUACAGAUUAUGUAUUUGUAGGUCAAGAUACACCUAUAGGUGAACGAAUGUAACUGAUUUUUUCUCACAU